UAGUCACUAGCUCCAAUGGUAGAGCGGGAGAUUCCAAACCUUCAGGUUUUCGGUUCGAGUCCGAAGUGGCUAGCCA
rnacentral:tRNA from 1 species